rnacentral:lncRNA from 1 species
GAUGCACACGUGCUCAGCCUGGGUGAGUUGCUGAGUCUGCUGGUGCGGCUGUUGUCUUAGCAUAAGAAUGCUGCUGUACUGCUGAAGGCUCGAGCCUUGUGAACGCUGAAACUUGGGCGUGUUAAAGGUAGCUGCUGUGGGGAGCAAUGGAAAAGUCUUUCACCUAAAGAGCCAUCAUCUAAUCUCCCACAGAAGGCCUCUCCCAGCCCAGCCAAGGCUGCCCCCAAGACCAAGCUCAAGCCAGCCACCAACAAGUCAAGAGCUCUCCGCUCCGGAACAACUGAAGCUCCCCUCUUUUGUCCCUCUGCCCUGGGCUAGAUCCGGCCCUCGGCCCCCACUCUGUUCCCGGUGUUGCCUGGGUGCCCAAGAGCCUGAGUACCAGAUGGCCUGGCCUUUUUCCGUCCCCCCCACCCCCCGAGCCAGCUCCGGCUGUCCCCACGGCUCAGACUGUGCUUCCCCACUUCCCAAAGUGGUGUCCCUCGGCUUUUCUAUAGCCUGACACCCGCCCAACGAUGGCUUAGGGUAAGUGCGGUCCACUUUCUAUGUCCUGCCUCCCUGAGCAGCGGAGUCUCUGGCAGGACCCCAUUAACCCUGCAAUCCCAUUCCAAGUGGCUUGAUGCUCAGUAUGCUAAGGUCUAAGGGAGUCCCAGAGAGGUUCUGAGUGGCUGCCAGAACUACCAACCUGAGCUUUCUCUGAACAGAUCCACCCAGUCCCAUCAGGGGGGAGUCUGUCUCCAGUCCUACAGACAAGAGGCCCUGGGGCACCUGAACAGCUUCCCUGUUUCCAGAAUUGAAGGGUGAUUUAAGGUGGAACCAAACCUCUAGAACUUUGUUUUCUUGUUUGUUUGUUUGUUUUGUUUCGUUUUUGUUUUAAUAUAUAAGGUGUCUCUUUGU